rnacentral:rRNA from 1 species
GACGAACGCUGGCGGCGUGCUUAACACAUGCAAGUCGAACGGAAAGGCCCCUUUGGGGGUACUCGAGUGGCGAACGGGUGAGUAACACGCGAGUAACCUGCCCUUGACUUCGGGAUAACUUCAGGAAACUGGGGCUAAUACCGGAUAGGAAUCCUUGCUGCAUGGUGGGGGUUGGAAAGCUUCGGCGGUUUUGGAUGGACUCGCGGCUUAUCAGCUUGUUGGUGGGGUAGUGGCUUACCAAGGCUUUGACGGGUAGCCGGCCUGAGAGGGCGACCGGCCACAUUGGGACUGGGAUACGGCCCAGACUCCUACGGGGGGCAGCAGGGGGGAAUAUUGCACAAUGGGCGGGAGCCUGAUGCAGCAACGCCGCGUGCGGGAUGACGGGCUUCGGGUUGGAAACCGCUUUCAGCAGGGGCGAAGCUUGUGGUGACGGUACCUGCAGAAGAAGCACCGGCUAACUACGUG